GGGUAGGGGACUGCGGA
rnacentral:rRNA from 1 species